rnacentral:lncRNA from 1 species
CUUGUGGUACAACUUUAGUACAAUAAUAACUAACAUAGUUCGUCCUUCUCAAUUCUCACACGCAAUCAGUUACAACAUAUUCUAAUAGGGCAUAUACCCUAUAGGCCUAUACUAAGCGCGGAAACAAUUAAUUAAGAUUACUAAUUGACAGAGUUUAUUGAAAUUUUGUAUAUAUUAAAAUAGCUAGGAUCUUGAUACAUUGACAACUUUAAGUGAUCAAUGAUCAUCAACAUGAAUCUCUUUAUAUCUUCUAAGCUGCCGGAGCAUAAUCAUAACCACCAUCAUCAUCAUCGUCCCCUUCUCCUUCGAAAGGUGCUUUGGAUUGGUAAGUACACCAUUCUUGAUCAUAAUAUGCAUCAACUUCUUCAUGCAAAUUAGACUGAACAUGUAGCACCAUUUCUACUUAAAGAAGUUGAAGCAAAGAAUAAAGUAAGGAUGCUAAUGUAUAAAGAAAUGUG